ensembl:lncRNA
AAUCAAUGAGCCCUUUGCCUGGUUCAUUGUUGGUUUGGUUUUGACUCUGUGCCUUCCUGGUGGGCAAGACGAAGAAGGGCAAACUAUUUUAUUGGCUAUGAGCUUUGGAGCAACUGUGUACUAACCAGUCCUAUUAUACUCUCAUGUCUCCUGCUACCCAGGCUGGCCUGAGACUCCUUAAGUAUUGAGGAUGACCUUGAAUUGCCGAUCCUCGUACCUCCGCCUCCCUAAUGCUGGUGUGGCUCUAUGCUUGGUUUUCUGCCGUUCAGAGGAUUAAGCAGAGCUGAGGACUAACACUGAGCAAGCACUGGGCCGGUGGAACUACUCCCCAAACCCCAAGCCUUAUGGAGUCCCAAGUUGUCUACAUUCGUACUAGUGUUGGGGCCAAUGGGGAAGGAGAAAGAGACUAGACUUCUCAUUGCCAACCUUAAUAUACAAUUUUCUGGGAGUUAGUUUAUGAGACAUGACCUCUAAAGAUUCUGCCAGUGCCACUUCACACAAAUGGGAGAUGUAGGAAUGGUCCUAACAAGUCUCUUUAGAAGGAACGUUCUAGCACUACUGUAAAAUAUGAACAAUGACGUAAGUAAGCAGAGCUACCUUAGCAUGGGUAGGAAAGUCGGCAUCAUGUCUGUCCGUCCUCCCUUGACUGCCCCUCCCCCAAACACAGAUCUGUAGGUUUACUGAAGUCCUUCUCCAUAUUAAAUAUUAAAUAAUCAAAACCAGCAUCGUUGAGACUUUUUUCUCCUCCCUCCCUGGCAAUUCCUUAUCAAAUAUUUUCUAUCUUGUUCAUAUUUUUGCGUUUUUUUUAAAAACAGGGUCUCUAUUAUAUAGCUCUGGCUUCCCUGUACUCCAGGUUGGCCUCAAACUCACUGAGAUCAUUCCCAAGUACUGGAAAUAAAGCUACAUCAGAUCCCUUCGGAUGCCUUGUUCUCAGCUCUGGAAACUUCGCACUAAAGAUCCACUGGGCUGCUUUCCUGCCCGCUCUCUGGCUCGGCUGACCCAGGCUUCCUUCCUAACUAGCUCCGACAAUGUUGGAACUUGCCAUGCUGGACUCGGAGGAGACAGAGAUCGCAAGUCUUCUCCUACUUGCUCCUUGGCGUCUGCCGCCAGAGCCUCGGGUUAGGCGGGACUUUGAAUCUGCUCCCCGG